AGUCCCGAGGUGUAUCAGACAUAUCAGAUUGCAAAUCCGAAGAAGCAGACUAGUCGUCUGCCGGGGCUU
rnacentral:tRNA from 1 species